rnacentral:lncRNA from 1 species
AAAGAUUCCUCAUCUUGAUUGCCAACUUAUUGUCUCCUAUGUCAGUUUCCUUUAAGUCUGUAUAAAAGUGAGUGUGUGGUGGAUUCAAUAAUAUAAGAGUAUUCAAAAAAUAUAUGUUUUCUUACUCUAAAUUCUGCAACAAUAUAAUUUAUCAUAUACCACCUCUAGAAGACCACCAAUAAUGUGGUAUAAGAGCUGCAGAUCCUUGCAGCUGCAGUAG